UUGGACAAUGGAGGAAACUCUGAUCCAGCCAUGCCGCGUGUGUGAAGAAGGCCUUUUGGUUGUAAAGCACUUUAAGCGAGGAGGAGGCUCUCUUGGUUAAUACCUGAGAAGAGUGGACGUUACUCGCAGAAUAAGCACCGGCUAACUCUGUGCCAGCAGCCGCGGUAAUACAGAGGGUGCGAGCGUCAAUCGGAUUUACUGGGCGUAAAGCGCGCGUAGGUGGCUAAUUAAGUCAAAUGUGAAAUCCCCGAGCUUAACUUGGGAAUUGCAUUCGAUACUGGUUAGCUAGAGUAUGGGAGAGGAUGGUAGAAUUCCAGGUGUAGCGGUGAAAUGCGUAGAGAUCUGGAGGAAUACCGAUGGCGAAGGCAGCCAUCUGGCCUAAUACUGACACUGAGGUGCGAAAGCAUGGGGAGCAAACAGGAUUAGAUACCCUGGUAGUCCAUGCCGUAAACGAUGUCUACUAGCCGUUGGGGGAUUUGAUCCUUUAGUGGCGCAGCUAACGCGAUAAGUAGACCGCCUGGGGAGUACGGUCGCAAGACUAAAACUCAAAUGAAUUGACGGGGGCCCGCACAAGCGGUGGAGCAUGUGGUUUAAUUCGAUGCAACGCGAAGAACCUUACCUGGCCUUGACAUAGUAGAAACUUUCCAGAGAUGGAUUGGUGCCUU
rnacentral:rRNA from 1 species